AUUGAACGCUGGCGGCAUGCCUUACACAUGCAAAUCGAACGGUAACGGGCCUUCGGGUGCCGACGAGUGGCGAACGGGUGAGUAAUACAUCGGAACGUGCCCGAUCGUGGGGGGUAACGAGGCGAAAGCUUUGCUAAUACCGCAUACGAUCUACGGAUGAAAGCAGGGGACCGCAAGGCCUUGCGCGGACGGAGCGGCCGAUGGCAGAUUAGGUAGUUGGUGGGAUAAAAGCUUACCAAGCCGACGAUCUGUAGCUGGUCUGAGAGGAUGAUCAGCCACACUGGGACUGAGACACGGCCCAGACUCCUACGGGAGGCAGCAGUGGGGAAUUUUGGACAAUGGGCGCAAGCCUGAUCCAGCCAUGCCGCGUGCAGGAUGAAGGCCUUCGGGUUGUAAACUGAUUUUGUACGGAACGAAAAGCCUUCUUUUAAUACAGGAGGGUCAUGACGGUACCGUAAGAAUAAGCACCGGCUAACUACGUG
rnacentral:rRNA from 1 species